rnacentral:rRNA from 1 species
CUUGAACGCUGUCUGAAGAAUGCAGUCUGAGCGAUUAAGCAAAAUUAGUUAAAACUUUCAACAACGGAUCUCUUGGUUCCGGCAUCGAUGAAGAACGCAGCGAAAUGCGAUAAUUAAUGUGAAUUGCAGAAUUCAGUGAAUCAUCGAGUCUUUGAACGCACAUUGCGCCCCCUGGUAUUCCGGGGGGCAUGCCUGUCCGAGCGUCAUUGCUGCCCUCAAGCCCGGCUUGUGUGUUGGGUCUUGUCCCCCGAGGGGGACAGGCCCGAAAGGCAGUGGCGGCACCGUCCGAUCCUCGAGCGUAUGGGGCUUUGUCACCCGCUCUGUAGGCCCGGCCGGCGCUUGCCGACCCCAUCAAUCUUUUUUCAGGUUGACCUCGGAUCAGGUAGGGAUACCCGCUGAACUUAAUCCUAUCAAUAAAGCANAGAGAUAAUUACUGAGUGAGGGCCCUCUGGGUCCAACUCCACCGUGUUUAUUGUACCUUGUUGCUUGGCAGGCCGCUCAGGCGCGGGGGGCUUCGCCCGGGGCCCUGCCGGAGACAAUCUGAAGCUGUCUGAANAAAAGCAGUCCGAGAGAUUUAAACAAAAUUAGUUUAAAACUUUUCAACAACGGAUCUCUGGUUUCGGCAUCGAUNAAAAAACGCAGCGAAUGUGCGAUAAUUAUAAGUGUGAAAUUUGCAAAAUUUCAGUGAAAUCAGCAGUUUCUUUUAAACACAUUCGCGCCCGUGGUUAUUCGGGGGGGCAUGCUGCAUCGAGC